rnacentral:rRNA from 1 species
UGCCAAACUCUAGCCCAAUAGACCUGACCUGGAAUAACAAAGCCACUACCAAAACCCAACUAAAGCAUUUACUAGUCCCAGUAUAGGCGAUAGAAAAGACACCACUUGGAGCGAUAGAGACCACGUACCGUAAGGGAAGGAUGAAAUAAAAAUGAAACAAAUAAGCUAAAAACAGCAAAGAUCAACCCUUGUACCUUUUGCAUCAUGGUCUAGCAAGAAAAACCAAGCAAAAUGAAUUUAAGUUUGCCACCCCGAAACCCAAGCGAGCUACUUACGAGCAGCUAUUAUUGAGCGAACCCGUCUCUGUUGCAAAAGAGUGGGACGACUUGUUAGUAGAGGUGAAAAGCCAACCGAGCUGGGUGAUAGCUGGNUGCCUGUGAAACGAAUCUUAGUUCACUCUUAAUUCUUCUCCAAGGAAACCCAAAACCCUAAUGAAGCGAAUUAAGGGCUAUUUAAAGGAGGUACAGCUCCUUUAAAAAAGAAAACAAUCUCCACGAGCGGAUAAAUAACCCCUACCAAAGACUAUUGUGGGCCCUCAAGCAGCCAUCAACAAAGAGUGCGUUAAAGCUCCGUACCUUAAAAAUACAUAAACUAUCUGACUCCCUCCCCACUAACAGGCUAACCUAUU